GGCUGGGCCUGGGCCCUGGGGGCCAAGGGCUGGCCGGCCCUGGGACUGCCCCCCUGGCCCCGAGGGCAGCGCUCGGCCCAGCCCCCGAUAGUGUGGCUCCGAGCGGGGGAGGGCGGGAAGGAAGGAAGGAAUACCCACUGGCCGGGGCCGUAAGUCGCUUCGGAGUUUGAGAAAGAAAAGCGAGAGCAACAUGGCGGAGACUCGACUCCGGCUGGGCCUAGUAGAGGGGUCAGGCCGGGGCGGGAUCAGGCCUUAGCAACCGACAUCAGUCCUUAGCAACCUGCUGCGGGACCUUUUAUACCACUCUGCAGCUUCCUUCAGCCCAAAGACUACACAUCCCAGAGAGCCAUGCGGGGCCAGGAUGUAUGCAACGCGCAGGCGCCGGGGCAUUUCUGCUUUAUAUAAGGGCGAUUCGCGGCCUUUCUUCCUCUUUUUCGUCUCGAAUUGCUCCUCGGUCCUUCUGUAUCCUCUUCCAUCCGGAGUCAUCGUGGCCCCGGAAUGCCUUUUGGUGACCUGCUUCUGGAAGGAGGAGGAAGACACAUGGGAAUUUUGGAGAUGUUGGUGUUUGGGCAUUAUGAUUCCAUGCUGACUUUUCUUUUGACUUGAUAGCCAUUCUGGUUAUUUGAAUUGGGAUCAGAAUUGUUGGAUUUCCCUGACAGUCGCUCCCACCAUUGGCUAGCACUGAAAAUGAGCAGAAGUUAGGUUCAAGUCAUGUCUGUCCAAUACCAUGCAGACCAAGAGAAUGGUGUUCAAAGGAUCCAGCUUUCAUUACAAGAUGAAUGACUUAAGUGAAUUGAAGGAAGUGAAAUUUGGAGACUUAAAUGAAGAGACAAACCUGCUUUUGAAUAUUAAAUAUGGACUUGUCUGUUCCCACUAUUAAAACACAAUAGUCUUGUUUUACAUUUUGCAAAUAAAUUAAAUAUUUUGGUCAUCUGUCAA